GCCGUCUAUUAUCAUCUGCUACUUUGUCUGUCCGGUUAGCGGAGAAUUCGUUGAAGAUACGAUACUGAGGAGAAAUAUUCGUUUUAAGGACAAAUUUUGCAGCUUAUUAAUGUGGCAACAGCACCGCGCUAAUUAUCCUUAUUAAUGCAGUGGCGUCAGGAGAAGGAGACGGCAUCAUAAAAUUGUCAACUUUUUGUGUUUAAAAUCGCGAAAGUUGGCGAUUUUAUUUUGUUUUUGCGGUGCCUGUCCCUUGUUGUCGGUUGCGUUGAAGGAUUUACGUGCGUGGCGUCAGGAGGAUGGAGUCGCAUAUAUGUAUCUGCUAGUUUGCCUGGCAAGUUUUGCGUUUUUCUGUUAUCGGAAGAUUAUUGAACAUACGAUACUGCGGAAAAUUAUGCAAUUUAGGGAAGGAUUUUGAGGCUUUUAAAUGUGGUGUCAGCGCCGCGCUAGUUAUCCUUGAUAAUGCAGUGGCAUCAGGAGGUGGAGACGGCGUCGUAAAAUUGUCAACUAAUGUAGACGCUCGUCGAUCUGGGAGAUUUUAAUUUUUACUUUGUAGGUGGAGGUUUAUUUUACCUUUGAUUACAUUUUAUGCAAUAUGUAGGUACAAUUAUUUGAAUUUAGAGAUUAA